rnacentral:rRNA from 1 species
UACGGAGGGUGCAAGCAUUAAUCGGAUUUAUUGGGCGUAAAGGGCGCGUAGGCGGGGAGAUAAGUCAGAUGUGAAAUCCCGAAGCUCAACUUCGGAACAGCAUUUGAAACUGUCUCUCUUGAGGAUAGGCGGGGAAAACGGAAUUCCACAAGUAGCGGUGAAAUGCGUAGAUAUGUGGAAGAACACCGGUGGCGAAGGCGGUUUUCUAGCUUAUACCUGACGCUGAGGCGCGAAAGCAAGGGGAGCAAAC